rnacentral:tRNA from 1 species
GGGCGUGUAGCUCAGUGGUAGAGCUCUGGUUUUACACACCAGCGGUCGGGGGUUCGAUCCCCUCCGCGCCCA